UGCACUGGAGUCGGUUCCGUCCAUCCUCUUGGAAAGUGCGGGGGGCAUUAAGUUGUCUGGCGUAUGAUCCAAGUCGUUUACUGUGAAAAAAUUAGAGUGUUUAAAGCAGGCCUUCGCCUUGAAUACAUUAGCAUGGAAUAAUAAGAUAGGACUUUGGUCUAUUUUGUUGGUUUGCAGACCGAAGUAAUGAUUAAUAGGGAUAGUUGGGGGUAUUUAUAUUCCGAUGUCAGAGGUGAAAUUCUUAGAUUUUCGGAAGAUAAACUUAUGCGAAAGCAUUUACCAAGGAUGUUUUCAUUAAUCAAGAACGAAAGUUAGGGGAUCGAAGAUGAUUAGAUACCAUCGUAGUCUUAACCAUAAACUAUGCCGACUCAGGAUUGGUGAACGUUGAUUUAAUGACUUCAUCAGCACUGUAUGAGAAAUCAAAGUCUUUGGGUUCCGGGGGGAGUAUGGUCGCAAGGCUGAAACUUAAAGGAAUUGACGGAAGGGCACCACCAGGAGUGGAGCCUGCGGCUUAAUUUG
rnacentral:rRNA from 1 species